rnacentral:tRNA from 1 species
GAGGGUAUAAUUCAGUGGUAGAGCAUGUGCUUAGCAUACACAAGGUCCUGGGUUCAACCCCCAGUACCUCUG